GCCCGGUCGUGAGUCAGCGCCGGCCACGCCCCCUUGUGGUUGGCCACGCCCACCCGGCCGGGCUGUGACUCACCGGAAGUGAAUCAGAGGGUGCGGACGGCGCGCGGACGGCGGGCACCGAUAUGCGCCACUAUGCACCAGUAUGCACCAGUAUAGACCAGUAUGGGCACCGCUAUGCGCCACUAUACACCAGUAUGCACCAGUAUGCACCAGUAUGGGCACCGCUGUGCGCCACUAUGCACCAGUAUGCACCAGUAUGCACCAGUAUGGGCACCGCUAUGCGUCACUAUACACCAGUAUGCACCAGUAUGCACCAGUAUGCACCAGUAUGGGCACCGCUAUGUGCCACUAUGCACCAGUAUGCACCAGUAGGCACCAGUAUGGGCACCGCUAUGCGCCACUGUACACCAGUAUGCACCAGUAUGCACCAGUAUGGACCAGUAUGCACCAGUAUGGGCACCGCUGUGCGCCACUAUGCACCAGUAUGCACCAGUAUGCACCAGUAUGCACCAGUAUGGGCACCGCUAUGCGCCACUAUGCACCAGUAUGCACCAGUAUAGACCAGUAUGGGCACCGCUGUGCGCCACUAUACACCAGUAUGCACCAGUAGGCACCAGUAUGGGCACCGCUAUGCGCCACUGUACACCAGUAUGCACCAGUAUGCACCAGUAUGG
rnacentral:lncRNA from 1 species